rnacentral:rRNA from 1 species
GAUCAUGGCUCAGGAUGAACGCUGGCGGCAUGCCUAAUACAUGCAAGUCGAACGGAGUGAAGCCUUCGGGUUUCAUUCAGUGGCGAACGGGUGAGUAAUACGCAGGGAACCUGGCCAUGGCAGGGGGAUACACUCUGGAAACGGAGCAUAAGACCCCAUAGGCAGUAAGGCGGCAUCGCCUUACUGUUAAAGAAAGCUGAAAGGCUUUGGCGAUGGAUGGACCUGCGGUGCAUUAGCUUGUUGGUGAGGCAACGGCUUACCAAGGCGAUGAUGCAUAGCCGGCCUGAGAGGGCGGACGGCCACACUGGGACUGAGACACGGCCCAGACUCCUGCGGGAGGCAGCAGUAGGGAAUUUUCGUCAAUGGGCGCAAGCCUGAACGAGCAAUGCCGCGUGAGUGAGGAAGGUCUUCGGACUGUAAAGCUCUGUUGCCGGGGAAAAAGGGGAAAUGCAGGAAAUGGCAUUUCAUGGAUGGUACCCGGCCAGAAAGCCACGGCUAACUACGUGCCAGCAGCCGCGGUAAUACGUAGGUGGCGAGCGUUAUCCGGAAUGAUUGGGCGUAAAGGGUGCGCAGGCGGUCUGUUAAGUCUGAAGGCAAAGGGAUGAGCUCAACUCAUUUAUGAUUCAGAAACUGGCAGACUUGAGGACAGGAGAGGGCGGUGGAACUCCAUGUGUAGCGGUAAAAUGCGCAGAGAUAUGGAAGAACACCAGUGGCGAAGGCGGCCGCCUGGCCUGUGACUGACGCUGAGGCACGAAAGCGUGGGGAGCAAAUAGGAUUAGAUACCCUAGUAGUCCACGCCGUAAACGAUGAGGAGCAGGUGUUGGGAGUGAAAUCUCAGUGCCGAAGCCAACGCAGUGACUCCUCCGCCUGGGGAGUAUGCACGCAAGUGUGAAACUCAAAGGAAUUGACGGGGGCCCGCACAAGCGGUGGAGUAUGUGGUUUAAUUCGAAGCAACGCGAAGAACCUUACCAGGUUUUGACAUCGGAUGCGAAGGUGCAGAGAUGCGCUGGAGGCUAUCAUCCAGACAGGUGGUGCAUGGUUGUCGUCAGCUCGUGUCGUGAGAUGUUCAGUUAAGUCUGGCAACGAGCGCAACCCCCGUGGUAUGUUACUAACGCUUAGGGCGAGGACUCAUAUCAGACUGCCGGUGACAAACCGGAGGAAGGCGGGGAUGACGUCAAAUCAUCAUGCCCCUUAUGACCUGGGCUACACACGUACUACAAUGGCGUCUACAGAGGGAAGCGACCCUGAGAAGGGAAGCGAAACCGGAAAAGGGCGUCCCAGUUCGGAUUGAAGUCUGCAACCCGACUUCAUGAAGAUGGAAUCGCUAGUAAUCGCGGAUCAGCAUGCCGCGGUGAAUACGUUCCCGGGCCUUGUACACACCGCCCGUCAAACCAUGGAAGCCGGCAACGCCCGAAGCCGGUGGCAUAACCUUUUAGGAGUGAGCCGUCGAAGGCGGGGCCGAUGACUGGGGUUAAGUCGUAACAAGGUACCC